GGGGAUGUAGCUCAGUGGUAGAGCGCGUACGCCGUAUAUGAGGCCCCGGGUUCAAUCCCCGGCAUCUCCA
rnacentral:tRNA from 1 species